rnacentral:rRNA from 1 species
AACGAACGCUGGCGGCAGGCCUAACACAUGCAAGUCGAGCGCCCCGCAAGGGGAGCGGCGGACGGGUGAGUAACGCGUGGGAACGUGCCCUUUGCUACGGAAUAGCCCCGGGAAACUGGGAGUAAUACCGUAUAAGCCCUACGGGGGAAAGAUUUAUCGGCAAAGGAUCGGCCCGCGUUGGAUUAGGUAGUUGGUGGGGUAAUGGCCUACCAAGCCGACGAUCCAUAGCUGGUUUGAGAGGAUGAUCAGCCACACUGGGUCUGAGACACGGCCCAGACUCCUACGGGAGGCAGCAGUGGGGAAUCUUAGACAAUGGGCGCAAGCCUGAUCUAGCAUGCCGCGUGAGCGAUGAAGGCCUUAGGGUUGUAAAGCUCUUUCGUGGGGGAAGAUAAUGACUGUACCCCAAGAAGAAGCCCCGGCUAACUCCGUGCCAGCCGCCGCCGUAAGAC